GGCAAAUGCAUGCAGUAUGAAUUGGAUACUGCAUGCAUUGAUAUCAUAGGAAAGGAACUUCUCAAAUCCCUGUUAUCAACUUGUUUAUAUAGUAUUUGCUACUUUUUUGAGAAUCUAGAACUCAAAGACGUUUCCAAUUUUAAUUAAUUUAUUUUUUAUUUAGUCAUGAGGGAAAUGGCAGCCAUUUUUAUUUUGAAAUUCAAGUUCUGUAAACUUUACCUCCAACACAAGCCAAAAAAAUCCUCAAAGAUGUCAUCUGGUUCAUUUAUUGAUAAGGCUUUUAGGGCACAAAGGCCUAUAGUCCAUAGAUCCUAAAGAAAGACAGCAUGGCACAAUGGAGAGCUGGGGCCAGUAAACAUAGGUACAAAUUUUGCCCUCACACUUAUUAGACAUGCGGAUUUGUUCAAGUUAGUAAGCCACAGGGUUGCCAAGUCAUCACCCAUUUUGUUCCAGAUAGUUAUAUGAAAUGAUAGAAUGUGUGCAAAGCAUGUCUCCAUUUAGUGUUCAGCUCAUUGCUAAUAGGAAUAAGCCCAAGUCUUAUUCAUGUUUCCAUGAGCCAUAUUUCUUACUCAAGGAAUGUGUGAAUAUUAUAGAAAAGAUGAAGUGGAAUUCACUAAUUAUAAAAGGAGAUUAAUGUAUAAAAAUGACAAUCAAGAAAGGUCAGGAAGUAAUACCUAGACUACUUCAUAAUGAAAAAACAAACCACAAGUGUGGGUUAGUGGUGCUAGCCUAAUGGUCUCCCUGGGUCAAAUAAUCACACCCUCAUGAGACAGAUUUUUCUCUAGGAAACAUUUUCUGUGGCACAUCAUGCUCCACCUUAAAUGUAUUCUGUGAAGAAAAAAAAAAAAAAAUCCCACAUCUAACAAACCUAGUUUAAGGUUUGAACCUGGUGGCAAAUAUUUUAAACAGAAAAAGCCAAAGUCUUUAUGCACUUUUCAUCAUUAAAAAGGGGCAUCUUCAGGAAAAUUACAAUAAUGGUAGCAGUAGCCUUAUCUGUUCUCUGCCAGGUAAAUACCAGUAAUAUUGUAAAAGCAAUCUCCUACAGUUAUUUCUAAUCCAUGCUAGCUUACAAGCAAAUAUAUCUUUGAAUGGAAUUACAGUUUAGGGAAUAGAGGUGGAACUAAGGAAAAAUCCACUAUAAUACAAAGUUAUAUAGACCUGACAUCUCAGAAAGCGUGGCUGACAGUGGCAUAAGGUUGAUUCAAAUGUAUUGCUAUGCGCACUGUUUUUUCCAAAGCUUUCCCAGCAAACAGUUUUUAUCAGAAUACAGCAGAGACCAAAAGUUUAUAAUAAGUUCUUAAUUCUAUUAGCAGGGAAGUUGAAGGAGUAGUCAAGUAAGAUGACUUACAAAAAAAUUCUAGAAUUUGUUCAUCUUCUUAACAUGUGAGCUUAAUUCAGAAGUUAAGUCUAAUCCCAAUUAAACUGACAUAGUUUUUCUAUCUUGAAAAUAAUCAAGCAAGGUGAAAGUAAUAAAAAUGAACAUUGGGUUUGUAGUUGGAUUCUACCCAUAUGGAAUUAUAAAACAGAAUUAUAUAUUUAAGCCAUUAAUGACAUGAACUAUCAAUAAGGAAAUCACUGUAUUGAACUCAAAGCAUUAUCAUAUUUGGCAGAAAUGUCUUUAAUCUUAAAUACAUUAUUUUUCUGGACAUUUGGCCCCUUUUAGGAAAGUACAAUUUAUCACCACCCUGUUUAACAGUCAAGUGAAUUGUCACAUUUCUAAAUAAUGCACAUAUUUUAGGCAUAUUUGAUAAUGUCAUUUUACUUGGCAUAAGAUUUACUAUUUUUGAUUCAUCACAGUUUGCUUUUGAAAGUCACUUCAAUUUCUUUUCAUUGUACUUAAGCAUUCUUGCCCCUUUCCCCUUGGUGUUCGUUUGUUGCCUUUAAUGUGAUUUCAGAAUUGUAAAUGACUCAGCAUAUUCGCAAGUGAAUUUUUGAGGUUUAUUAUUUUUUCCAUCUGGAUCAGUGAAGUAAACAGAGUGAAAAUAGAGAGUGGCAUUUCUUCCUAACAGGUUUUCACUAAAGAGGGUACUGGGUUAAUGUAAAUUUUCCCUGAGACCAUAGUUCACAGAAUGUGCAUUUCAUCAAUACUGUUAACUUAUUUUUUUAAAUAUUAUUUUCUUAAAUCUAUGUAGCUUUAUCAGCCUGAUGCUUUUACUACUAUUAUUUGCACUGCUUUUAGGAGCAGGGAAUGCUACCUUAAGAUUUUCAUUGCCAUUUUAUGGGUGGUAAACUCAAAUGUGAACAGGGGGUAGGCAGGUAUGUAAGGGGUGAAAGUAGCUCAUUUUAAACAAAUAAGUAAUAAUAAGGAUUGAGAGAGGAAGUCUCAUCAGAAAGGAUCAGCUGUUAGUCUUGUCAUGUCACCUAUCAGGUUCAACAGAAUAUGUCUCUGGGCCAGUUUCAGCCUGUGGGACAUCAAUCUGCAAACAUUGCUUUAGAGAUCAAUUUGUUGAAGGUUGAUUAAGUACUAUAAACCAAACUAGGCUAGUGUUCGUGGGGAGGUCGAAGUGUAGGAAGAUAAACUAUCCCAUCAAGGGCUGGCUUCAUGGAUGCACAAUCUGAAUAGUUGCAAGAGGUCCCACAUUUAGAAGGGCUUACACUUUGCUUAAUGGUCUGCUGUUGUGGUCUUGAAAUUCUUAAUUAUUUUUGAACAGGGGGCACCACAGACUCAUUUAAUACAAAUAUAGCGUGUAGUAAAUUACAUGGCUUGUCCUAAUCCUGUUCAAGGUAGCAUUUGAAAUAUUUUCCUCCUGAAUGAGUUAAUAGACCUCUCUGCAAACUUUAUUAACUACUGGGGAGUGUUAGAAAUGUCGGGAUUAAUAUGUUGUCAGUUUGCUCAACUUGGUUUCUUUUGUUGAUUUGAAUGUACCAGUUUCCUUCAUCUCUAUUACUCUUUGUAUCAUCUGCCUGCAUAAAGAAGGCAAGUGGCCUGAUUCAUCACAGAAAGAGACUAAAAUGGAAAGUAGGUGGUUCCACUUGCUUGAUUUGCCAAAAAAUAUUUAAAGAUUUCCCAAAGAUAAACUGGUGACGUCCUUUCUUUCUUUCUUUGAAUUAAAUAUAAAAAUUAAAAAAAAAACUAGUUUAAUGCACAAAGAUGUUGAGAAACAUGGUUGUUUCCCCUCUUAGUUGUUUCUAUUUGUAUGUGGAAUAUAUUAUCACGUAAAUCUGUCAUUAUUAUUGUCUAAUACUAGUGAUUUAUACCUAAUAUCAGGUUUUAGAGUCAUCUCUCUGAAAUGCUGGAGUAAAGUAAAGCACAGACUUCUCUGAUGUUCACUAAAAAGCCAUCUAACCUUUUUGUAGAUCCCUAGACACAUGUAAUCCACCAAUCUCCAGCUCAUAGAAAAAAAGCGUGACCAUUUAACUUUGAACCUGGGGAGCAGAACUCUGAGCUGGUUUAAUUUAUUUUUCUUACCCAUCGAGGUUUUAGAUUUAUAUGCACUUUCCUGUUAUAUUUGAUGCCAACCCUGCAUUCCUCUGCUGUGGUGCAGGUAUGACUAAGGACUGUCUCUUUCCCUGGAAUCAGGCUUCAUUUUUCUUGGGUUCUACAGGCUGGCUGCAUACAUGACAGCACACAGUGACAGUAAUUUGCACUGAUCUGCCCCCACUGCUAGUCCUGCUGCUACAAAUAGCAAUUGAUUAUUAUGCUGUAGUGUUAUUGACUGUCACUAUGAACGCAAGCUUUAUUUCAUUUUUAAAGUAACAUGCUGCAGAUUUGUUUAGUAUAAAAGUAAAACAGGGAAAUAUUCAUUUCUAAGAAUUAUUUCCAGUCACAAAUGUAACUUUAAAUCCUGGUCAUGAAACAUUUACUUUACUUUAAAUCAUAGUAAACAAAAACUUUAUUGUGGUAUUUAUUUUAGUGUAAUAUAAAUAAAUAAUUUCCAAAAGCCAUAAGAAAAUCAGUAUAAAACUGAAAUAUUUUCCUAUCCCCAAUUUCAGAAGAGAUAUGGACAGAAAAUGACUAGAUACCUUGUCAUCUUUUUGUUCCUCCUCUGUAAAUGCCUUCUCUCUCAAAAAAAGGUUAGAAUCCUAUUUCAUACACAUUUAUUUCUUGACCUAUCUAGUAUUCUGAAAGUCUUAAUUUUUCUAGAAUCCUGUAUGAUCUCACCCUUUUUACUUCUUCCCCCUACAAACUGACCAGAAAUGGUUGUGUUUAGAACUACAAGUAUGUAGAUUGGUAGAGUUAAUAUGGAUUAAUAGUAUAUUGAUUACAGACAUAUCUUAAUUUAGAAAUAUGUGUCUUUCUAAACUGCAACUUUAACUUUCUCUAUUCUUUAAAGCACACGACUAGGUAGCAAAACUGAUGUAUUUGGUAAUUCUGUGCCAUCAUGAGUCUCACAUGUUGACUAAGUUAGCAAGUAUACUAUUUCUGUGUGAAACUAAAAUUUGUGUUGUACAUAACGCAAAGUUUAGAAAACAAAGAUUAAGAACACUACACAAAACCUCAAAGCCCUAUCCAUCCAUCCAGUGCCUUUGAACUGCUCUCUGCUCUCUGAAGGACACUCAGGAGGAAAUACAGUUCAAUGGGUGGGUUCUUAUAGUUUGGGGCAACAGGAGCAUUUUAGAUCCCAUCUUGCCCUAUCAUUUGAUUUCCUUUGGUACUUUUUUCCCAAAUAUUUUAUUUUAUUAAAAAAUAAAUGGAAAACUUUUAUCUAAUCAGACGUAACUGGAAAGAAAUAUUUAAAUUCAAUAUCUUUUUGAAAGGUAAUCUAUUCCUUGGUCUGAUCUCUACUGUUAUAGGGAUGGCUCAGCUAGAUGUUGUUAGAAAGUGAUUUCAACUUUCUACGUUGAGAUUCCGCAGCAUCCAUAAAUCUGCCAAAUGCAAUAUUUGUGCUAAAGCCGCUGUUAUCUCUAGAUAAUUUAACUUUUAUCUGUACUAACAAAGGAAGAAAAGCAUGUAGAGGAAUUACAGAACAGAAAUAGGGAUAGUCAGUCCUAUGCUUUGUUUUAGAUUUGGUUUAGCUUUUAAUAGUGGUCCAUGUUAAACAAUAGUCAAAACCUGUUUAGAAGUAGGUAGGUAUAAGCCAGAAUUGAGUAGUACAAAUAAUUGUGUAUUUCAAGUAAACUAAGUCUGUCAGAUAUAAGUAAAGGGAAUUUCCACCAAUAUUUUAAUAAUUAGAACUCUCAAUGGUUGAAGGAAAAUAGGUAGUUUUUCCAACAGCCACUGAGACAGCAAAAGUCCAGAAUAGUUAUCUUUCAAAAGUUAAAUAUAUAUACUCACAUGUGAAAAGAAACUUACAGGUAUUAUUCAUUUCACAGCCAUGAUGUAAUUCAAAUUAAUGCUAAACAGCUAUGUAUUUAUCAAUUGGCAUUAUUUUUCCAUCUCUCUCUGACACUAUAUUGUUGUAAUUCCAUCAAACGAUCAUUUGCUUUUUUAUGGUAAUAAUCCCUUCACAUUCCUUUCUUUCAUCUAUAUCCUUGUGUGCUAUUUGUUGUUCUGCUAAAUCCCUAUUAUAGAGGCCUAUGGGUUCCAAGAGCUUGAUGAAUAAUUGGAAGUGUUUUAUCCCUGAGCUUCAAAAAAAGUGCUAGAAGUAAUUAUAAGCAAACAUCUUCUGUAGUGUCCUGUAUCAAUCCAAUCCCUGCUUUAUGCUGUUUGUACUUUAGAUGGCGAAGGAAAUAGUGAGAUCUUGGUUUCCAGCUCUUGCAGCAUAAAGGGGACAGAUGUUUCAGUUUCCAUUGCCUUUUCUUCUGUCUUCUCUGUUCUUUCUGGCAGCUUGGGCUGUUCACUACAAUACGUUCCACAGUUAGUCAAGCCUGUAAUUUCACAAGGUACAGUUAAUUAUUGAUCAAUCAAAAUGAACUUCAUAAUCCUUUUGGCAACUUACGCUGUACUUGAACUUCUCUCUUGCCCAUAAAAUAGCUUAAUGGUCUACAGUAUAAUGAACAUGAAGGAUAUGAACUAAUGUUCAAAGAAGCAGGCAAAUCCUACCUUUCUUGCUCAUGCCAAUUCAGGAUUACUCUUCACAAUAUACUACAUACUGCUAAGUUUUCUUCAGCAAAUCAGUUAAAGAUUCAAGCCUUCCCCCAUUCCAUUCUGACCCAGAUGGAGAGUUUUCAUAUCUUCUCCAAGAAUUUGAUUCCAUUUAAGGUAUUUAUUUAAUAUGUAAAUAUAUAUUUUCUAGUCUUUUGUUUCUUCUAUAUAAAUUAAUUUAGUCAGAUAAUAGGGUAGCUGUUAUGAGGCAUAGAGUUGUCUUUUCAGUAUAAUGUACUGUUUUUUUUUCUGAACAGGCAAUUUACCUGCAUAAAAAAAAAUGAGGCACUUAUAUGCAUCAAAGAAUAAUGACUUCACUCCUUCUCUUAGUGAAAAUACAGAUUAAAAGGGAAAAAAAUCCUCAACCCCUCAUAGCUAACAUUUGAUAUGUGUUCAGAAGGAUAUUAUAGGUGGUUACUAGCCACCAAUUCACUCAACACUUAUUGAGAACCAAGGGUCUUGCUCUGAGGGACACACAGAGAGUGAGAUGGAGAUCAGAAUAUGAAUCUGGAAACUAACAUUGCCAUAGUACCUAAAGACAUAAUUUUUGGUGGAAGAAUUUUGGCUCUGGGAAGUAGAGGAGCUGAGGUAUAAUUUUUUAGUACAUGGGUAACCAAGCUCAUUUGUUUGCUAUCAGAAUGGUAUCUUCCUCUAAGGAACAUUCAUGCUACAACCCAGGCAAACUUCAACCCAUCUGUGCAACAUGUGUUUAAUGCCCCCUCACCAUUGUGUUUGCAGUACUAGCUUGCUGCCUACCAAGAUGAAUAAGUCAUGCUUCUUUUCUACAGGGUUUGUAUGGUGUUGGGCUGGGUCAGUAAAAGAUGAUGACCGUUGUACACACAGCUGAUAGGUUUCUUUAGCUUCUCCACUUUGUUGUAUAGCUUAGUUCUAAGGCUGUCUCUUAUUUCCCUGAGAUUUCAGUGUGCAAUUUUGCCUGUAUUCAAAUACUAUUAAGCAAAAGAAAGUCAAAGAUUUAAGACAACCUGAGUGGCAUUCUAAUUUUUGUAGACAAGAGAGGGUAGUCCAGAUGUGGCACGAAAGUAACCACACUUCUAGGUGAAAGUGUGUAAAGCUAUAAAGAGAGAUAUAGACAUAAUGCUUAAAACACAAAAAGACCAUUUGUGAUUAAGGGGAUCAGGGUAGGUUUUCAGAUUUAUGAUCAGUUGAGCUGGACCUCAUAGGACAGGUCAUUUUCCUGAUAGAGAAAGUAAGCAAGAGGGAUGGGACUCAAGAACAAAAGCUCAGUGAUGGGAACAUAGUGAUAUUAUUUAGUGUUCAAUUGCUCUGAAUAUAUGUCUACCAGGCAACACCAACCUUAAGAUUGUUGAUACAUUUGAUAAACACAAAUUAGGGUGAGUUUGAGAUCCAAUAUGCCCAAGUGGAAAAACAUUUCACUAUCAAAAUGUUUCCCAGUUAUUUUCUGCAAGGUGCCAUCUCCUCUCCACUCAGAACUGAAUCGCUCAUAUCCUGUUCCUGCCUCUGCUGCUCUUGGACCUAUGGGGGUGCUGCUUCCCCAGAGACCCCCUCUGGGACCUGGCAGGAUGCACAGUGGCUGUCUUCACUACACAAGCAAAGUGACAGCAGGCUAUCUCCUGGAAUCCUCACAGAACAGCAGGGACUUAUCUGGCAGCCUUCCCAACUUCUCUCCAGGUUUGAAGAUAACAAUAGGGAAGAGCAUCAGGGUGUCACUGUUUCCUUUGCGGCUGCCCUUAUUCCUGCAGCUUAAAUUCAUCCUCAGGGGUCUUCACCUGGCAUGAACUCAACUGGAUUCCAGUCUUUCUCUGGAUGACAAUAGUCAGAUCAGCACCUCAAUGAGGAACAUUCUAGUGUGUCUGAACCUUAGCAUCUUCUAGGUGAUCUGGAUCAACUUCUAGAGACCAAAAGAAGACAAGUUACCUCUUCCAAACAGUCUACGACACAACUUCAAUUUGACCUCUUCCUAAGAUAUCUGACAGGCUCCUGGAGUUACUCUUUAUCUGCUCAUGGGGGUAUUUGCUUCCAGAUGGAAAAUCAGGUUAUAAUGGCAAUGUCCAACCUGAAACAGCUAUACUGUGAAGCUAAGGAAACCUAAGUUUUCUUUCAAGACUCUAUCUGAGUUUGUGCUUGUGGGGUUUUUUUGUUUGUUUGUUUUAAUCUUUUUUUCUUAAAGAAAUCCUCCCCUCCAAAUUGUACCAGUUUCAGGCACCACAAAACCUAGAUCAGACUCUCCUUUCAAUACUAGUUUCAGAGUUUUUCAUUUGAAAUUUCAUCACCCAUAGACCACCCCAAGCUCCCAACUUCUGCCCAACCCUUUUCCCACCUCCAUCAAGUAGUGAGGCUCUUUUCUCAUAUUUAAAAUCACUGUAGAAUUGUCACCCCAAAUCUGUGGUUGCAGAACCUGCAGACAAGAAGGUCCAACUGUACUACAUCAUCUUACGAAGGGACUUGAACAUCCAUAGAUUUUAGUACCCAUGGAAAGCCCUGGAACAAAUCCCCUGCAUAUACCAGGGGAUGACUGUACUCUGUUUUCAGGUUCUCACCUGAAGACCUUGAUCAAUAAGAACAUAGAUGCAGACACACAGACACACUGCAUAUAUGUCUCCAGGAUCUCUUUGAUGUAUAGCAAACUUUUUAAAUGCACAGAGAAAAUAUUCUCCAGAAAAAAAAACCUGUAGAGAGAAGGAACUCAGCUGAACCACCCUUAUCAUUGUCACACAAGUAUUUGCGAACAGUGAGAUUAUUCCACACCAGCUUAAAGAAACAACCCAUUCAGACAGAUUUCUAAACAAACAAACAUCAUGAUCCAGACCAUUGGUAUAUUUUAGACUUUAAGUGACAGCUUCUAUUGGCACACAAAAUUUGGGAAAGUUGUAGCCAAAGAGAUGCUUGCCUGAGGGCACUAGACAUGUUAACUAUUUGUUGUUUUGGGAAGGCUGGUGAGCAGAGAAGUGACCUAAUGAAAACAAAGUUUUAGCAAAAUUAACCUCUGCAUACCUUAUGUCAGAAGGGCAGAUCAAGAACAUAUGAACAUAUGCCCCGUUUUUUUUUUUUUUUUUUUUCAGCCCAGACCCCUCUGGGCCUUUAAAAACAAGCUUUCAUAACUUGGAAACCCUUUACAUGAUAUAUAAACAGCAUCUUCACUGAUGAUUUUCAGCCUGGGCCAGAGAAGAAUAUGUACUUUGAAUCUGUGUUCAGAUUCUGGAAAAUAAAACUGAACUUGAGGAACUACUUCCCACUCAUGAAUUGCAGUAGACAUCUUUCCCCCAAGGUUCCACACCCUGAUGGACUGAAAAUAAGCAAAAAACAGACUCUUUUCCUAAUGUGUACUAAUUAGAUUUUCAAUGAAUUCAUCAAAGCUCCUAGGGAUGUUCUGAAAGUAUGUGGCAUCUCUCUAUUCCCAAGUACCCAGUGAAACAUUUGAAGUCUGCAUACCAUGGAGAUUUGCCUUUGGUAUGAAGCACCUGAUGCUAAGGAACAACCUUGAGCUCCAGGCUCAGCACACCUGCCUAUGACUGCCUAUGACUAAACUCUUGGCCUCCGUCUUCUCAUGCCCAACUCUCCUCACAGUGUUGUCAGGGAGAUUAACUGAAAUAUUAUACCUAAAACACUUGACACUCGGUAAAUACUCAGUAAAUGGUGGUUACUUCUAUUAAGUUCUAAAACAGUUUGGGAAAGGUCAUUCCCGAGAAUCUUCGCUUUAGUGAAAGGGAGUUAUAAUUUUUUUUGUUUGCGGUUCCCUGAUUCUAAAUGUGGAAAAGUUUAAAUCAGUAUGUAUGUGAAAAUUACUGUUACAAACUGAUUUUUACAUGAUGUCAUAUCAUAUCAUUUCUUGCUAAAUGUUAAAAACCUCUAUAGUCUAUAUAAUAUAUUGACUAGGAUCUGGAAAAAAAAAACUCUUUGGGAAUAAUUAAUUUUAAAAUUUGUAUUAAGCAAAUGUAUGUGUGAACAUGUCUAUAAAAACCAAAAUUCAAAACAUUAAAAUAUCUAUAAAUAAAUAUAUACUUUCUCUCUCUUCAGAAGCAACCACAUACUUUAUCCAUUUCAUGAGGUCGGGGGAGACAUCAUGGAAAAUACAAUAGCAAAAUGUACAGAACUACACUUAAUAUUGUUUUCAGCAACUUAAUAUUUCCUGACAUUGAGAAUAUUGUACAAAAAUAUAAGUAGAAAUGACAGCCCAAUACUUAAAACUUUAGAAAAGGGAUAUGGAAGAUACAAUUAUCAGAGAGCAGGAUAGUGUUCUGGUGAGGAACUGAAUUUUGCUCUAACUUGUUCCAUGUAGAACUUGUUUUUCAUAAUAAAAACUUGUUCUAAUGUAAAGGUCUACAGACUUUCUUCUGCAAAAGGCCAGAUAGCAAAUGUUUUAGGCUUUGCUAGCCAGAUGGUCUCUGCUACAACUGUUCAUCUCUGCCAGUGUAAUGGGAAAGAAGCCAUGGACAAGAUUUAAACAAAUGGGUGUGGCCAUGUUUCAAUAAAAGUUUAUUUACACAACAAACUGCCAGAUUUGGCUCAUGAUCUUUUGUUUGCAAACCACUGCUCUAAAGUAAUAUAUGACAAAGAUAAAAGCACCUAUAGGAGGAGAUGAUAAAGUUAUAGACAGAGAAGUAUUGCAGAAAAAGGGGGACACUGGUAGUAUAGAAUGAAGUUCAUGUUCUUUAUCCCUUUGUCCCUACCACUCUGUGGCAGAAAACUUCCAUCUCAGGAUAUAUGGCUCUAUUUCCAGAUUCUAGGAAACUUGCUUUAUUGAAAAUUUACAUUUUACAUGAUAGAAUAUAUUAUUUCCAAACCCCUGGGUUAUGAUACUUAAAAUAGUCUGAAAUUAUUCAAAUUGCCUCAUCUACUCCCAGGAAUUUCAGUUCAACCCUGACACUAAGAUCCCAGUAACUGACUUCUGAGUUAAUUCUAUAUUUCAGAAGAGAGACAAAUAAGCAUUUUAUUCCAGCCCUUUUUCCAGCCAGAAUUACAACACCACCACAAACUCCAUGAACCUAGUAUAAAGAGACACAUUGGCUGCUUAAUGCUACUUAGUUUGUGUUAUUUAAAUCUGGAGCCUAAGCUCUGUGAAUUCGUGAUGGAACAACCUUGGCAAAUAGAAAAAUAAACUUUGCUUCAGUGGAAGAUUAGUCCAGGAGGCCCAGUGGACAUUUCACAGCAGUAAAAUCCAUGCAAAAUGAAUUUGGGCAAGAAUAGUCUGUCUAAGAUAUCAAUUUGCCCAAAUAAUAUAUUUAUAGACUAUUAUUACAUCUAGGAAAAAAAGCACUAGAUUGAAACUGUAAAAUUUCACUGAUAAAAAUGAUCCAUUCUCAAAUGUCAACCAACAUUAAAAGGGAGAAUUUGACACUUUUAAAUAAAAAAUGAUGCGUAAAUUACACAAGAAAUCUAUGGAGACUCUUUCAGUUCUUAUUUUCUCCUCUAGCCUGCUCUAAAACAUGCAGUAAACCUUUUUUACAAUUGGAAAGGUUUAAUAUGUGCAUAGAAAGAGACUUGGAGGCAGUGCCUUCUCCUCCUAGAGGCCUGUGUGCAUGGCUUUUUUCAAAUAUUGAUUGUGAAAGUGAUAUCACACCAGAAGGUACAUUGAUAUGGUGUUGGGUAAAAGAAAAUGGCCAAGAAUCCUUACAGUCUAAUCAAAGCUCUGUCCAAGCCCCUACGCUCAGAUGAAAUCCAAUCAAUAGAGACGAUUAAAUGACACACACAGUCACCAAUAUUAAAUACACUCCAUUUCCUGUACAAGAGCUUGAUGACACAAAGUAGACAAGAUAAAACUCAGCUCUGCAGGUUUAUUUACAGAUCUGUAUUAUAUAUAAAUUAGACUAUGAAAGUGUGACUCAGUCAUCAUUUGCCCCACAUAUUAAUGUGCCAACUAGGCAUCUAAGAACCACCUUGUAUUGAUCAGACUGUGAGGGGGAGCAAAUCACAGGGGGUGUGGUUUGACAAUAAUCACACAGAGGAGACUAAUAUUCAUUUUAACAUCUGGUAUUUGGUUUUAUGAUUGAAAACACACAGGAGAGAAGGAAAUAAUAAGACAAACAAUUAAAAUAGGUACGAUUUAUGGAGCAUUUGCUAAAAGCCAACCAACAUGCUAAUUGCUUUAUAGUUAUUUUCUACAAAUAUCAUCUCAUUGUAUCUUCAGGGUUGAGGAAACUAAGAUUAGGAUGUGUUCAGUGGUAUAGAAGUUGGAAGAGUUGGAAAUUGAACUCAGCAUUGCUUGACUCCAAAAGACAAGCCUUCCACCUGUAUGGUCCAAAUCCUUUGCAAAUUGACUAUGACCUUAGAAAAUCUAUCUAUGUCUGUUUCACUGUAGUCUCUUUCUUCUCCUGUAAAGUGAGAUGCUUAAACUAAAUAACCUAGGGUGUCUUUCUUGUUCUAAAUGUCUAGGAAUCAGUGGUAGCACCAGGCCUGACUGCUAGGUAUUUAUAAAGUGUGAAUAAUACCACCUCAUCAAAAUUGCUCAUUUAUUGCUAAGAAAGUGUAUGUUUUCAUGGGUUGGAAAUUUUUUGCUCCUUAUUUUAAUAGGGAUGACACACUAAAAAAAUAAGCAAGGUAUUUGGAGACAAGGCUUAGUUCACCGGAUUCAGUGAAACCUUUGGACUUUCUGCUGGGUGAAACCUUUAGUGGCUCAGUGUGGUGCAGAUUACAGGAGAAGCUGGCUAGUUUCCACCACUGACAACUUCUCCUUAGAUUCAGGACAUGGCCUCAGCAUUGUUUUGCAUCAGAUUUUCUCACUUUUAAAAAACAAAAUCAUUGUGUUCUUAAUUCAAUCAAACUCUGAAAAGUAAAUUAAAGAAAUAAAUACACUUCUUUUUUUGGGGGGGGGGUGCUCACCUACAGCAUAUGGAAGUCUCCAGGUCAGGGACUGAAUCCGGGCCGCAAUUUCAACCUGUGCCACAGCUGCAGCAAGACAGAGAGAAGUCAGUAGCCCAUCUAAAGUAUGUGUAGAGACUUCAAGCAGAAGUAUUCUGAGUACUCCGAGGCAAAUGGUAGAUACCUGACUCAAGUCAGGAAAAACAGUGUCUCUGUGCCCCUCUGUCUGCAUAUGUAUCAGAAUUUGAGUCUGGAGAAGAUGGACAAUGAUGGGGUAGGAAUGGCUGGAGCUCUUCCAUUCCAGUGAAGACUUCCUAGUACCUGUUUCAAGUGCAAACACUGUUGGCUUCCUCAUGGACUCUUGACGGAUGGACCGGAUGUAUGUUUUCCUACCCCAGAUGCUCUUUAAGAACACCGGCAAUGAGAUAGGGGAUUGUGUGCACCUGAAUCAGCAAUUCACUGAGUCUUAUUUGUCUCCUCUCUUGUUUAAAGAAUCAGUAGUGUAGUGCACAGAGCAACAAAAACUAGGCAGAAGGCUUUUUUUUUUCUGUUAACAUAGAAAGAAGGCCAAUCUAAACACCUUUUUGAGUCACUUCUUUAUAAUUGUCCUGAGAUAAAUAUGACAUUACUGCCCUGAUUAUUCAUCGCCAAGAGACACAUUAGUGGAUAAUUAUCAGAACACAUGGCAAGAUCACAUCCAGUCAUAAAAUCCAUCCAUACAUUUUCUAUAAGAUUUUCAAAGAUUUAAGAUGGAUCUUUUCCUAUAAAUUGAGAAAAAGAAAAAAAGAUUUUUUGUCAUGUGAAUAGAUAAUGUAUUAGAAAUGGGAAUGUUUCUUCUAUCUGAAUCAUUGUCCCCACCCUCCCUCAUUAGCUCCUACCAACUUCGAGGAUUCCAAAAUCCCAAACACAACUGACUCUUUUCAGGCUGAAGUUCCAUUGACUUUUGGCAAAAAGCAACUUCCUGGUUCAAAGAAAAAAGGCUUAUAAAAAAGCUCACAAGGCUUCUUAGACAUCAAAUGGGUCUUACGAAACCACAUUUUGAUGAGCUAAGUGUAAAUGAAUCAGAAACACAUGGAUUAAAUUUCCCUUGAAAUACACAUGGGUUUGAAAAUCAAGGAAAAAGUGUUUAGCCAAAUGUGUUUUGGGUUUCCUUGAACUGAAAACAUUUGAAAAAAGUGGAGGCAUUUGCUAAACCCUAAUACACUGUUGUGUUUGCUCAACCCUCCUCUAAAUCAAUUAAAUUUCCACGAGGCUUCCUUCAUUCCCUUGUGGUUUGCCUUGUCACCUCCGUCUUGACACUUUUUAGUCCAAACUAAAUUCCCAUUGAAAAAAUAGACUGUUGUUCUAGAUCUACUUAAAUAUGAAGUAGCUAUUAAAACACCCAGCAAAUCAAAGACAUUAAGGGAUAGAAAAGCACCCAUUAGGUCAUGUAUUCUAUCCUGAGGGUUGGAGCACAUGCACUCACGGCUCUCCUGUGCUUUAUCCAAUGUGGUUUUAAAAGUCUCAAGUGACAAGACUUCACCACCUCCCUUGGGAGAAUAGUGUGCAUUCUAAUAGAUUUUGCCAUUAGGAACUGUGCCUAAGUGUAUAACAGAGGCACAAUGGGAUGGCUGGCAGGAAAAUGGUAUUAUGGAUAAUUAACUCUUUCACUACUCCAUAUCAAUCACCUGUAGCAUGUUCAGCAACUGUAGCAUUUCAGGACUAAAGAAUAUGCCAGAUGUCUGUGUCCAUUACUAGUUUUCAUUUAAAAAAAAAUCCAAAGUUUGGUUAAUGGUAUAAAACUAUGCCUAUGGUAAUGUAAGAUUAAGCUUCACAAUGAAUUGAUUCAUCACAAUAAAACUGCGGAAUGUCAUUAAUUUAUUCUCUUGCCUAUUAAAUAUUUCUGGAAAAUACAUGACUUAAAAUCUUGAGGUUUUCAUUGUCAGGAAAUGAUGUCAAAUGGCACCACCUAGAAUCUAAACACACAUACUAUCUGUGUAUACAUAUAUGUAUUUUACAUAUGUUAUAAAACAUAGAUUCUCCCUAAACUGCCUUCUUUCUGCUAAUGUCUUUUCUUUAAAUGCCUUCAGAGAAAAUUGAACUUACUUUCCAUUUCUGCUGCUGCUGAGGAAGGCCAUGGGUUUAUGAAAAAAUAUCUGUCUUUCCAGAUAGAAUGGAAAACCUAGCUUUCAAUAUAACUAACAUGUUUUCAGAGGUCUUAUGGCAGAGUUUACAUUAAUUUGCUUUAGUUCUCAUUCUACUUACAAAUGAGUUAUAAGUCACAUAAUGGCUUACAUGGCCUGUCAUACUGCUACUAUGCUGACCUUUUCAAAAUUCUGCAUUGUGAGCAGCUGACAGGCAUACCUCUUCCAUGCCAGUUACUGCAACCUAUAAAACCUAACCAAUGAAGUGGCAAGAAAAAUCAGGUAAGAGGAAUGGGAAACUGCACAAUAUUCUGACUUCUCUUUUCAAUCUCUCUCAGAUAUGGGGUGGCUUUUCAUGUUUCACCCAAUCUUUUCUUUUCCUUUUAAAAUGAGCAUUUUCCUCUCCCUUGACCACAUGCCUCAUAUUAUUUUGCCCCUUUGUACACAUUUCUAUGUCAGUCAUAAAAUGAGUCCCCUGUUAGAAUAUAGAGUUGAGACUUUUAUAUCUAUGUAGCACACUCUUUCUCUCUUACUAUUUGAAGAUCUGGGUGGUGUGGGAAUGGGUAGGGACUGAGUUAUUGAAUAAAUAUUUUUCAGAACUCUACAUCUAUUUGAUUAUUAUCACACUUUCUCACUUUAAAUUGUCUUUCUUCAAUAUGUUUUAAAUAAUAUUUAAAGCUAAGGACUUGCUUUUUGAUUCCUGUAUUCUGCACUUAAUAAUACCUAUCAUUAGCAAGUGAGCUGGGUCAUUUUCUUCCCUCACUUACACCACAAUGUGAAAUGUCUCCACCCAGACUGUUUAUAUUACUACUGCAGCUUUGGUUAUCAUGGCCUUUUCCUGAAACAAAUCUAGCUUUCCUUUUUAAUUUUUUUUUCUUUAAUCUUUCCUUAUAAGCCAAUCCUGUGGCUCUUAAUAAGUAUGUGACUUCUCUGAACUUCUUUUAAUGGUUCCCCUUCUCCCUUGCUUAAAGGAAUCAUUGUAGUAUUUAACAAUUUUGAAUUUCUGGUUUUAAAAGAGAUAUUGGUUUUUUUUUUUUUUUUUUUAGUAUUUAAGCUGACUUAAAUUCAUGUAUCAGGAUUUUCACAGUAAAGCUUGAAAAGCACAUACAAUCACCAUAUGAUAGCAACCAGGACCAAAAAGGGGGAGAACUGUUGUUUUCUUUCUUCUUUAAAAACAAUUCAAUAUUGAAAUGAUUACAAACAGAGUAAGAACAAUAUUGAGUCAUGUUACCAAGCAUUGUAUUCUAAUCUGAACUUAAGUUUCUGAGUGAAGGGGUAGUUAUGCUACUACUAUUUAGAAUGCUUUAAAUUAUGUCUCAUGUUCAAAAUGACUGAGUACAAAAGGCUCAGUUCUUCAGGUAGAUAAACAUUCUAGAUUUUAGUAAGCACAUGAUGCAUGCUGCUAUUUUAUGGCCAUGGCCACCAGCCUGUUUAUUUCAUUAUAGGUCAGAGUAAAAUCAGAUUCAGUAAUACAUCCAAUGCCAUACUUUACACAAAUGUAGUAAAGUCUAAAAGUCUAUCAGGAGGAACUGAUGGCAAGGCUGUGACUGACUAAAUUUGAAUAUGUAUGUUUACUUUCUCCUUGUUUUAUAAUGGCUACCUUUACAUAAAAGUCACCAUACAUAAGAGUUCAUCUUAAUAA